GAUGAACGCUGGCGGCGUGCCUAAUACAUGCAAGUCGAGCGAACGGACGAGAAGCUUGCUUCUCUGAUGUUAGCGGCGGACGGGUGAGUAACACGUGGAUAACCUACCUAUAAGACUGGGAUAACUUCGGGAAACCGGAGCUAAUACCGGAUAAUAUUUUGAACCGCAUGGUUCAAAAGUGAAAGACGGUCUUGCUGUCACUUAUAGAUGGAUCCGCGCUGCAUUAGCUAGUUGGUAAGGUAACGGCUUACCAAGGCAACGAUGCAUAGCCGACCUGAGAGGGUGAUCGCACAGACUGGAACUGAGACACGGUCCAGACUCCUGCGGGAGGCAGCAGUAGGGAAUCUUCCGCAAUGGGCGAAAGCCUGACGGAGCAACGCCGCGUGAGUGAUGAAGGUCUUCGGAUCGGAAAGCUCUGUUAUUAGUGAAGAACAUAUGUGUAAGUAACUGUGCACAUCUUGACGGUACCGAAUCAGAAAGCCACGGCUAACUACGUG
rnacentral:rRNA from 1 species